CUUGAUCUCUCUCUAGUCUCUAGAAUCAGAUAAACGUGACUGGAAUUUGAUUUCGUGGAUCCUGAGCUUCUGCUUAAAGUUGAUUACUAACUUCAAAUCACUGCACUCAUUUCAUUUAAGCUGUCUGAGGGAGUCCAGUAUGCUGCUGGGAAAGAGAAUAUGUGUUGGAUGGAAUCGGUUGCUUUUACUUCUUUCGGUGGUUAUUUUAAUCACCCGCUUGCUAUCAGUCAAGGAGCUCCAUCAACAAAGGAAGGGAUUUUCAGGAUGUGCCUAAGGAGAAGCCAAAGCCUGUUCCUCUUAUCCAAGGACCUGCUGCUGGGGAGGGACUUUCCGACCGUUUGCAAUGCCAAGGAACAAGGGCUCUUAACACAACACAAUUUGGGAGCUUCCCUAGUAAGAACUGUCUCCCAAUUGUAACUUUAGUCACCGUAUUCACUAUCUACAACUCAACUGCUGACAGUAGACCAACUGAGCUGGUUACUGUUGGGAACAUGUCAUAUAACAAAGUGGAGAGGUCGAUGGCCAUUUUGAAUGUUUUCUUAAAGUUUGUUCAGGAAGCUAUGUAUGGAUGCCAUGUUGUCAUUCUUACUGAUCCCACCUCUGAUCUUCCUCUGCCUAGAGAUCGCGUCACCAUUCAACCAAUAAAAGGUGAAUAUCAAGUCGUACAUUGUAAGAGCACAGAGCACUGUUCGGAAACAGGACAUUCCUUUUCUUAUUAUUCUCUGCUUAUCUAAGUUUGGUGGUAUGUAUUAGAUACUUGAUAUAAAGAAUAUAGACAUGGUAGUCAACUAGUAUGUGUCAGAACAGCUGAUUUUAAUGCAAGACUUUUGAGUCGUCUUCCUUGGUGAACCUUUAAAUUUUCUUGUUUGCCCAAGGAACACGAUAGUGGAUUGUUAUAUCCAUACUCUGUUAAUACUCUUUGUUUGCGUAUUGUACUUCAAUUAUAUUUAAGUCGAAGUUAAUGUUUUAUCAUAUCUAAGAACCAUCUCCCAAACAUUUUGGUGGAUUUUCUUUAAAAAGUUGAUUUAUAGUUUAGUAGCUCUACUUUCCCACAUCUAUUAUUUCUAAGAAAUGUGUGUACUUCUCAUUUGCAACAUC